rnacentral:rRNA from 1 species
UGGUUCCUACGGGACGCAGCAGGGAAUCUUCCACAAUGGGCGCAAGCCUGAUGGAGCAACACCGCGUGAGUGAAGAAGGGUUUCGGCUCGUAAAGCUCUGUUGUUGGAGAAGAACGUGCGUGAGAGUAACUGUUCACGCAGUGACGGUAUCCAACCAGAAAGUCACGGCUAACUACGUGCCAGCAGCCGCGGUAAUACGUAGGGGGCAAGCGUUAUCCGGAUUUAUUGGGCGUAAAGC